rnacentral:tRNA from 1 species
GUGCCUGUAGCUCAAUUGGAUAGAGCGUCUGACUACGGAUCAGAAGGUUGGGGGUUCGAGUCCCUUCAGGCACA